rnacentral:tRNA from 1 species
GUCUCUGUAGCGCAAUGGAUACCUCGUUGGACUUCUAAUCCAAAGGUUGUGGGUUCAAAUCCCACUUGGGAUG